CUGUUACUCUGUUAGGCGGCGGCGCAUCUGAGAGGAGCGACAGCCUAAACGAAAAGGCAGGCGGCCGGCGGCGCAUCUACUUCCCCAAGCCAUCGAUGGCCGGCGACCUAUCCCUGGCUCCCUGCAGCGGUGCGGCCUGUUCUUUGUGAGAUCCGGCGGCCGGGGGCAACACGACGGCAUGAUGCUCCAUGGCUCCAACUCUCCUGCUCGCCACAGCUCCACCUCGCUGGGCACCUGUCCCUGCCGGUGCCGUGCGAUGGUGUGCCGCCGCCGGCAGAGGGCAGCUCCUCCGGACCUCCACAAGCAAGCAAGCAACGCCAGCACAAGUGUGGCCAACGGUAUCUUGAGUUCUUGACGAUAUUCUAUUGAUUCAAUUUGUAUAGUGUGCGUUAAGACUUGAGUAGAGAUUUCACAAAUUUAAUCAGAACAUUAAACUUGAAUGCAACUCUGUUGGCUAACGAGUGGGAUAUUAAAUGGAUAUAUGUAAAAUCAAGAUCAUUUCAGUAUAUUUGAAUUGUGCUUCACAUGUUGGACUUUGAACGCAAUCAAUUUGAUUA